AUUUGAGAGAUGAACUUGGAUCGCUUGCCUGGAGACUGCUUCGGGCACAUUUUAUCGUUCACAUCUCCGGGAGAUGCAUGUCGUUUCUCGUAGUUUCAUCGUCGUUUCGUUCCACGGCCGAUAUGGAUAGUGUGUAGCAGAGAGUUUUGCCAUCAGACCACAAAGAGAUUCUAUCCAGAUGUCUAGCAAAGAUUUUUUUAUGAAGUUAUGCAGUCCAAGCCUAAUAGAUGAUGGUGAUAAGCUUUUGGCAACAAGUUAAUUAGGAGAUGAUGCAUGGAA